rnacentral:rRNA from 1 species
AUUGAACGCUGGCGGAAUGCUUUACACAUGCAAGUCGAACGGCAGCACGGACUUCGGUCUGGUGGCGAGUGGCGAACGGGUGAGUAAUGUAUCGGAACGUGCCCAGUCGUGGGGGAUAACGCAGUGAAAAUUACGCUAAUACCGCAUACGACCUAUGGAUGAAAGCGGGGGAUCGCAAGACCUCGCGCGAUUGGAGCGGCCGAUAUCAGAUUAGGUAGUUGGUGGGGUAAAGGCCCACCAAGCCAACGAUCUGUAGCUGGUCUGAGAGGACGACCAGCCACACUGGAACUGAGACACGGUCCAGACUCCUACGGGAGGCAGCAGUGGGGAAUUUUAGACAAUGGGCGAAAGCCUGAUCCAGCCAUUCCGCGUGCAGGAUGAAGGCCCUCGGGUUGUAAACUGCUUUUGUACAGAACGAAAAGGUUUCUACUAAUACUAGGAGCUCAUGACGGUACUGUAAGAAUAAGCACCGGCUAACUACGUGCCAGCCGCCGCCGUAA